rnacentral:rRNA from 1 species
AGCAGCCGCGGUAAUUCCAGCUCCAAUAGCGUAUAUUAAAGUUGUUGCAGUUAAAAAGCUCGUAGUUGAAUUUCGGGAUCAAUAUAUUGGUCAUGCUUAGGUAUGUACUGGUAUUAUUGAUUUCUCCCUUCUGAAGAACCAUAAUGUCAUUAAUUUGAUGUCAUGGGGAAUCAGGACUGUUACUUUGAAAAAAUUAGAGUGUUUAAAGCAGGCUUUCGCUUGAAUACAUUAGCAUGGAAUAAUGAAAUAGGACGUUUGAUUCUAUUUUGUUGGUUUCUAGGAUCGACGUAAUGAUUAAUAGGGAUAGUUGGGGGCAUUAGUAUUCAAUUGUCAGAGGUGAAAUUCUUGGAUUUAUUGAAGACUAACUACUGCGAAAGCAUUUGCCAAGGAUGUUUUCAUUAAUCAAGAACGAAAGUUAGGGGAUCGAAGACGAUCAGAUACCGUCGUAGUCUUAACCAUAAACUAUGCCGACUAGGGAU